rnacentral:misc_RNA from 1 species
CCAAUAGCGUAUAUUAAAGUUGUUGUGGUUAAAAAGCUCGUAGUUGAACCUUGGGCCUGGCUGGCCGGUCCGCCUCACCGCGUGUACUGGUCCGGCCGGGCCUUUCCCUCUGUGGAACCCCAUGCCCUUCACUGGGUGUGGCGGGGAAACAGGACUUUUACUGUGAAAAAAUUAGAGUGCUCCAGGCAGGCCUAUGCUCGAAUACAUUAGCAUGGAAUAAUAGAAUAGGACGUGUGGUUCUAUUUUGUUGGUUUCUAGGACCGCCGUAAUGAUUAAUAGGGACAGUCGGGGGCAUCAGUAUUCAAUUGUCAGAGGUGAAAUUCUUGGAUUUAUUGAAGACUAACUACUGCGAAAGCAUUUGCCAAGGAUGUUUUCAUUAAUCAGGAACGAAAGUUAGGGGAUCGAAGACGAUCAGAUACCGUCGUAGUCUUAACCAUAAACUAUGCCGACUAGGGAUCGGACGGUGUUAUUUUUUGACCCGUUCGGCACCUUAUGAGAAACAAAGUGUUUGGGUUC